UACGUAGGGGGCAAGCGUUAUCCGGAUUUACUGGGUGUAAAGGGAGCGUAGACGGUUUGGCAAGUCUGAUGUGAAAGCCCGGGGCUCAACCGCGGGACUGCAUUGGAAACUGUCAGACUUGAGUGCAGGAGAGGUAAGUGGAAUUCCUAGUGUAGCGGUGAAAUGCGUAGAUAUUAGGAGGAACACCGGUGGCGAAGGCGGCUUACUGGACUGUAACUGACGUUGAGGCUCGAAAGCGUGGGGAGCAAAC
rnacentral:rRNA from 1 species